rnacentral:rRNA from 1 species
UACGUAGGGGGCAAGCGUUGUCCGGAAUCAUUGGGCGUAAAGAGCGUGUAGGCGGCUCGAUAAGUCCGCCGUGAAAGUCCAGGGCUCAACCCUGGGAUGCCGGUGGAAACUGUCGGGCUAGAGUCCGGAAGGGGCGAGUGGAAUUCCUGGUGUAGCGGUGAAAUGCGCAGAUAUCAGGAGGAACACCAAUGGCGAAGGCAGCUCGCUGGGACGGUACUGACGCUGAGACGCGAAAGCGUGGGGAGCAAACAGG